CCUGAGACUAGAGUCACAUUCUGACACAACCCUUGUCCUGGUGUGCUGGCAUCCUCGGAGACAAUCUGCUGAUCUUGAUUUACAGGUGAGGGCAAUCAGUGCCCCCAGUAGUACCCAGAUCAGAACACGC